CUCCUCUCUCAUCCUUCAGAUGUCAGGGCAUCUGGAAGUCUCACAGAUAAGGAGCUUUUCAGUUAUAUAACCCAAAAUGUGCCAACUGCUUUCCAAAUACAGAGGGAAACACCUAGUGAAAAUACAUCACCACCAAGCGACUGAAGCGAUGAUCAAAGGGGAGAGCCUGACUGAAGGGCAACCAGCCAACCUGUGGUGAG